UUCUCUUGGUUCGAAUAAUGAAUGUACGAGUUUUACUAUGAUCAAAUUGUAUUAUUGAGCUGUUGACAGGUUGGAUAGUUGGCUGUUUGAAUGUUUUCCAGUUUUGGAAUUUGAAGUUAGCUUACUGCCUUGCUCUGUAUCUGACUUAUCUGUUUGAACUUUUGAUGAUUUUGCAUCUGUUUUGGAUGGGAAUUGAAUAUUUGUUUGCAUAUUGGAUGCUAAAUCUGUGUUUAGUAGUAAGUAGGAGAAAAAUAGGGAUGACCCAGUUUCGUAGUUCUGGCAAUUUAGCAUCAAAGAUUGUAAAGAUUCCUUUUUGGUCAACUAGGGGUCUUAUGUUGUCGACUAGUUUAGAGGAUGUGUAUGGUGGUGAUUGUGUUCUGGACUUGUUUGUUGAUUGGACUUUGCUUACUGCCUUGCUAUAAGCCUAUAAUGCUAUGUUUCUGAUUGUCAGUCUCUGUGUUUACAUUGUGGGAGCUUAUAUACGUACUUGGUUCAUUUGAUAGGCCAAGCUGUGGUGUGACUGUCCCUUCUGGACUGAAGAUGGUAUGUGCCUCCUGCGUGACUGUAGCGUCUACGAAUGCCCGGAAAAUGAAUUUUCCAAACCUUUCAAGAGGCCCUUUCACCGUGGCCUUCCAUCCGACAGUUUGGUUUGUCAAGAUGACAAGCUGCAGGGUUGUGUUGACCGCACUCUAGACAGUAGGGCUUUCAGAGGCUGGAUUGAGACAGAUAACCCUUGGACAAAUGAUGACGAGACUAAUAAUGGUAAUUGUCAUUAUUACCACAACCCUCUAUUAUCUUCUACCUUCUGUGCAGGAAGAGAUUUUUGGUCCAGUUCUUCUUUGCUUGGAGGCUGACAGUCUAGAAGAGGCAAUAAGCAUUGUUAACAGAAAUAGAUAUGGCAACAGCGCUUCUAUAUUUACUACAUCAGGGUAGCUGCACGGAAAUUUCAGACAAGAAUAAUAAUUGGACUAAUAAAAAGUUCAAACAAGAACCUAUAUCACAAAUUUUUCUUGGCUCUGCUGGGCAGUGUUUACAGUUUCCCUUCUAGCUAUAUUACUGAUGAAUUGUGAUGGUCAACUUAAUAAGAACAACCUGGCAAAAAAAGUUAAAUACAUUUUAUAUCAAUUUGUAAUUAAUUUUGAGUAUGAAACAGGUUGGUAUCAACGUUCCUAUUCCAGCAAUAAGGCAUCUUUUGCAGGGGAUUUGAACUUCUAUGGUAUUACCCAUCUUUUACUAGUUACUUGACUUUAUUUCAAUAUCAAUUUGCCUGAACUUUCAUAUCAGUAAGUGUAGUCCCAAGUCUCAUGCUCAUCCUCCCUCUCUUCACUUGAUUUAUGUUUCUCUAUCUGAAAACUUUUCACUUAUCUAUGUAGAUAGAAAACGGACACAUAUCUUGAGGAAGAUGGAGGAAGAUCCCUGCAAAGCUUUUCUUGAAGUAGAGUAAGAAAAGUACCUUGUAUUAUCUUGUAAACUCUUGUAUAAGAGCUUCAUUUCUUUUGUAACAUUCAUGAGAAAAAUCAAAAUGUAACAU